GAUACCCUGGUAGUCCACGCUGUAAACGAUGAGUGCUAAGUGUUAGAGGUUUCCGCCCUUUAGUGCUGAAGUUAACGCAUUAAGCACUCCGCUGGGGAGUACGGUCGCAAGACUGAAACUCAAAGGAAUUGACGGGGGCCCGCACAAGUGGUGGAGCAUGUGGUUUAAUUCGAAGCAACGCGAAGAACCUUACCAGGUCUUGACAUCCUCUGACAACCCUAGAGAUAGGGCUUUCCCUUCGGGGACAGAGUGACAGGUGGUGCAUGGUUGUCGUCAGCUCGUGUCGUGAGAUGUUGGGUUAAGUCCCGCAACGAGCGCAACCCUUGAUCUUAGUUGCCAGCAUUCAGUUGGGCACUCUAAGGUGACUGCCGGUGACAAACCGGAGGAAGGUGGGGAUGACGUCAAAUCAUCAUGCCCCUUAUGACCUGGGCUACACACGUGCUACAAUGGAUAGUACAAAGGGUUGCAAGACCGCGAGGUGGAGCUAAUCCCAUAAAACUAUUCUCAGUUCGGAUUGUAGGCUGCAACUCGCCUACAUGAAGCCGGAAUCACUAGUAAUCGCGGAUCAGCAUGCCGCGGUGAAUACGUUCCCGGGCCUUGUACACACCGCCCGUCACACCACGAGAGUUUGUAACACCCGAAGUCGGUGGGGUAACCUUUUAGGGGCCAGCCGCCU
rnacentral:rRNA from 2 species